rnacentral:rRNA from 1 species
UAUUGGUCAAUAGCCUAACGGCUGAACCAGCAACUUGGAGGAAUGUAUAGGGAAAACUGGUAAAAUGUGAUGUACCUAGUAAUAUAAGUAAUAAAUAUGAGAUUAACUAAGUUAAUUAAAAUUCUAAGUAGGUAUGUGAUUAUGACAAUAUCUGCAUAGGUCUUGACCAAGUCACGUGCCAGCAGUCGCGGUAAUACGUGGAAGACAAGUGUUAUUCAUCUUCAUUGGGUUUAAAGGGUACCUAGACAGUUAAAUAAGCAAUUAGAUGUACUAAUUAACUAGAGUUUAAUGUAAGAAGGAUUGAGUACGGUGAGAGUAAAGAUAAAAUUUUUUGAUACCACUUAGGAACUGGUAACAGCGAAGGCUACCUUCAAUGUAAAAAACUGACGUUAA